UGAACGCUGGCGGUAUGCCUAACACAUGCAAGUCGUACGAGAGUUUUUAACUCUAGUGGCGGACGGGUGAGUAACACGUGAGAAUUUGCCUUUAGGAGGGGGAUAACAAUUGGAAACGAAUGCUAAUACCCCAUAUGCUUUUGAGUGAAACGGAUUUAUCCGCCUAGAGAGAAGCUCGCGGCUGAUUAGCUUGUUGGUAAGGUAAGAGCUUACCAAGGCGACGAUCAGUAUCUGGUUUGAGAGGACGAUCAGACACACUGGAACUGAGACACGGUCCAGACUCCUACGGGAGGCAGCAGUGGGGAAUUUUCCGCAAUGGGCGAAAGCCUGACGGAGCAAUACCGCGUGAGGGAAGACUGCCUAUGGGUUGUAAACCUCUUUUUUCAGGGAGGAAUAAAUGACGUGUACCUGAAGAAUAAGCAUCGGCUAACUCCGUGCCAGCAG
rnacentral:rRNA from 1 species